GCAAGCGUGGCGGAAUUGGUAGACGCGCUGUUUUCAGGGAGCAGUGGCAGUAGUCGUGUGGGUUCGAGUCCCACCUCUUGCA
rnacentral:tRNA from 1 species